rnacentral:rRNA from 1 species
UACGGAAGGCAGCAGUGGGGAAUAUUGCACAAUGGGCGCAAGCCUGAUGCAGCCAUGCCGCGUGUAUGAAGAAGGCCUUCGGGUUGUAAAGUACUUUCAGUCGUGAGGAAGGUGUUAAGGUUAAUAACCUUAGCAAUUGACGUUAGCGACAGAAGAAGCACCGGCUAACUCCGUGCCAGCAGCCGCGGUAAUACGGAGGGUGCGAGCGUUAAUCGGAAUUACUGGGCGUAAAGGGCACGCAGGCGGUUAAUUAAGUUGGAUGUGAAUCCCCGGGCUUAACCUGGGAAUGGCAUUCAAGACUGGUUAGCUAGAGUCUUGUAGAGGGGGUAGAAUUCCAUGUGUAGCGGUGAAAUGCGUAGAGAUGUGGAGGAAUACCGGUGGCGAAGGCGGCCCCUGGGACAAAGGACUGACGCUCAUGUGCGAAAGCGUGGGGAGCGAAACAGGGAUUAGAUACC